UACGUAGGUGACAAGCGUUGUCCGGAUUUACUGGGCGUAAAGAGCGCGCAGGCGGUCGAUCAAGUCGAGUGUGAAAGCCCCCGGCUCAACUGGGGAGGGUCAUUCGAUACUGAUCGACUCGAAGGCAGGAGAGGGUAGUGGAAUUCCCGGUGUAGUGGUGAAAUGCGUAGAUAUCGGGAGGAACACCAGUGGCGAAGGCGGCUCCCUGGGACGGUACUGACGCUGAGACGCGAAAGCGUGGGGAGCGAACAGG
rnacentral:rRNA from 1 species